rnacentral:lncRNA from 1 species
CCUCCCCAACCCACACGCCAUCAACCUCCAGACCCUCUCGCCGUGGCUUAGAGGUGUCUCUGACAACGUGGCACACUGGGAAGGCCUUCUUUCCUGCUACCAAUACAAAUGCAUUCUGAAUUUGAUAUGUCAUUAAAUGUAAAAAUACAGCCAAUUUGAAACAAGCAAAUGGAAAUUCCCAGGAACCAAAAACAGAAAGAAAAAUCAGAGCUACCGCAGUGCUGUCCCUGCAGACAGAAUUUGGGAGAGGUACUCAGAGUCACCUCCUGUGAGCCUAUGCAAGCCAGCUCCUGCACAACCCUGGUUUUAGUCCAGCCUUCUGCAGAAUUCCACAUUAAACAGGAUGAAGAAUAGGUUGUUAGCAGACUGAGGUACUUGGGGCAACAUUUCGUACACAACAGGAGGGAGAAACGACUCCAGGUUGUCUUGUGGUAGAGGAGAUUUUGCCUUGCAAUUUUACAUACUUAUGCUACGUGGAAGGCUGGGUGGCGUGACUUCAGAAAAAUGUUUCCUCAGGAAAGAGACACACAGAGAGAGAGAGAAAGAGAGAAAGAGAGAACCCACCUACCUGUUUUGCAAAAGUCUCAUGAAUCAUCCCUUCCUGUGGUCCUGCUCCCUGAGAUCCUUUCACCGCUCACAGUGGGCUACUUCUAAGAGCGUGCCUGGCACAGGGUCACUGAGAGCAUAGUCUUAAUAAAACAAUGAUGGAUGCU